rnacentral:piRNA from 1 species
UGAAUGUCAAUAAACAGCAGCUG